rnacentral:lncRNA from 1 species
AAAGAGAAGAAGGUUCCUGCUUUGCCAAAAACCCUCAAGAAAAAGCAAAGAAGUUUUGCAGAGCUGAAGAUCAAGCACCUGAGAAAGAAGUUUGCCCAAAAGGUGCUUGUAAAGGCAAGGAGAAAGCUUAUCUGUGAAAAACUGAAGCACUUUCACAAGAAAUAUACACAGAUGGACAGAAUGGAGAUUCGAAUGGCCAGAAUGGCAAGAAAAGCUGGCAACCUCUAUAUACCUGCAGAAUCCAAACUGGCAUUUGUCAUCAGGAUCAGAAGUUCCAAUGGUGUGCACACAAAGGUGUUCUGAAAGGUAUUAUUGCAGCUUCUUCACCUUUGUCGGAUCUUCAGUGGAACCUUUGUGAAGCUCAACAAGCCUUCAGUUAACAUACUGAGGCUUGUAGAGCCACAUAUUGCAUCAGGGUACCCAAACCUGAAGUCAGUAAAUGAGCUAAUCUACAACAGUGGUUAUGGCAAAGUCAAUAAAUUAAUCGCCUUGACAGAUAACACUUUGCUCAAUCUCUUGGCAAAUAUGGCAUCAUCUGCUUGGAGGAUCUGAUUCAUGAGAUCUAUACUGUUGGAAAACACUUCAAAGAAGCAAAUAACUUCCUGUGGCCCUCCAAAUUAUCCUCUCCAUGAGGAGGAAUGAAGAAAAGACCACUCAUUUUGUAGAAGGUGGAGAUGCUGGCAACAGAGAAGACCAGAUCAACAGGCCUAUUAUGGGAAUGAACUAAG